rnacentral:rRNA from 1 species
GACGAACGCUGGCGGCGUGCUUAACACAUGCAAGUCGAACGGAAAGGCCCUGCUUUUGUGGGGUGCUCGAGUGGCGAACGGGUGAGUAACACGUGAGUAACCUGCCCUUUACUUUGGUAUAACUUCAGGAAACUGGGGCUAAUACCGGAUAGGAGCUCCUGCUUCAUGGUGGGGGUUGGAAAGUUUCGGCGGUUGGGGAUGGACUCGCGGCUUAUCAGCUUGUUGGUGGGGUAGUGGCUUACCAAGGCUUUGACGGGUAGCCGGCCUGAGAGGGUGACCGGCCACAUUGGGACUGAGAUAGGAGCAAGAGUCAUACGGGAGGAAGCAGUGAGGAAUAGUGCACAAUGGGCGGAAGCAUGAAGCAGCAACGCCGCGUGCGGGAUGACGGCCUUCGGGUUGUAAACCGCUUUCGCCUGUGACGAAGCGGGAGUGACGGUAAUGGGUAAAGAAGCAACGGCUAACUACGUG